UGAAUACGAGAUGCUACGGCGUCGAAGCAGUCUAUGUCAUACUUCCAAGAAAAGCUUGCACUGUCAUAAACAAAUAAUGCCUGUACCAUAACCGACACAGGUGGGUAGGUAGAGUAUACUAAGGGGCGCGAGAUAACUCUCUCUAAGGAACUCGGCAAAAUGACUCCGUAACUUCGGGAGAAGGAGUGCCUUAUUUUAUAAGGUUGCAAUAACAAGAUCCAAGCAACUGUUUACCAAAAACACAGGUCUCCGCUAAGUCGUAAGACGAUGUAUGGGGGCUGACGCCUGCCCAGUGCCAGAAGGUUAAAGAAGUUGGUUAGCAUCCGCGAAGCUGAUAACUGAAGCCCUGGUGAACGGCGGCCGUAACUAUAACGGUCCUAAGGUAGCGAAAUUCCUUGUCGGGUAAGUUCCGACCCGCACGAAAGGCGUAAUGAUUUGGAUACUGUCUCAGAGAGGGGCUCGGUGAAAUAGACUUGUCUGUGAAGAUGCGGACUACCUGCACCAGGACAGAAAGACCCUAUGAAGCUUUACUGUAACUUGAAAUUGAAAUUGGACUUUGCUUGCGCAGUAUAGGUGGGAGGCGUUGAGAAUAUUCUUGCGGGAAUGUUGGAGCCAUCAGUGAGAUACCACUCUUGUAAUGUUAGAUUUCUAACUUUGUAUCAUUAUCUGGUCAAAGGACAGUUUCAGGCGGGCAGUUUGACUGGGGCGGUCGCCUCCCAAACGGUAACGGAGGCGCACAAAGGUUUCCUCUGAACGGGUAGAAAUCGUAUCUAGAGUGUAAGGGCAUAAGGAAGCUUGACUGUGAGACCUACAAGUCGAGCAGGGACGAAAGUCGGUCUUAGUGAUCUGACGGUGCUGAGUGGAAAGGCCGUCACUCAACGGAUAAAAGUUACUCUAGGAUAAUAGGCUGAUCUCCCCCAAGAGUUCACAUCGACGGGGAGGUUUGGCACCUCGAUGUCGGCUCAUCGCAUCCUGGGGCGGUAGUACGUCCCAAGGGUUGGGCUGUUCGCCCAUGAAAGCGGUACGCGAGCUGGGUUCAGAACGUCGUGAGACAGUUCGGUCCAUAUCCGGUGUAGGCGUUAGAAUAUUGAGAGGAGCCUUCUUUAGUACGAGAGGACCGAGAAGGACAUACCUCUGGUGUACCAGUUAUCGUGCCAACGGUAAACGCUGGGUAGCUAUGUAUGGAGUGGAUAACCGCUGAAAGCAUCUAAGAGGGAAGCCCACCUCAAGAUAAG
rnacentral:rRNA from 1 species